GUGCUUGCUUCAGAAGCACAUAUACCAAAAUUGGAACAAUACAUAGAAGAUCAGCAUAGCCCCAGUACAAGGAUGAUAUGCAAAUUCAUGAAGGCUUCAUAUUUAA